CGCUCAAUCACAUGAAAUCUUCUAUUGUGAUUUUUGUUGUUUUAGUUAUUUUUCACUGCUACCGAUUCAUUGACUCAUUCUGAGUAGAGUAUUGACAUAUUCUGAGUAGAGUACCGCGUUCCUAAUUGUUGAUUUUAAAACGUGGGUAGUAAUUCUCUUCGGUAAAAGAAAAAGAUGAGUAAACAUCAUUCACAUGAGUUGAGUGAACAUCCGGAGGUUCAAUGGGCUCUUAAUCUGCUCAAACCGGAUCCCAUGUAUGAGCCCAGUGUGUUGUCGAAGUACUCGACGGAAAUAAUGCUUAUGUUAAGCGGUUUCGCGAUGCCAUCACUCUCAAAUGUAUACAACAGUAAGCCGUUCUAUACCGGAAUACAGAGGCAUAUUAUGUUCGUAGCAGGAGGAUACGUUUUGGCACAAUUUGUAAAGAAGCUUGUUGACAAUUUUCAAGCGGAACGUGAUACUAAACUGAGAGAUUAUAUUAUACGACAUCCAGAACUUUUCCCCGAGCCAGAACGUAUAAAGUAUAGCCAAGUGUUGGAGGACUGGAUCCCAAUACGUUAAUUAAUGUGAAAACUGUUAGAGAUGAUUGUACCAUCUUGCGUAUCUCUUACAAUGCAGACAGACAAUGCAAUGAAUGUAGACAUAUUGAUUGUAAUUAUCACUGUAUAGCCCUGUACCCUUUGAGUCUCCC